rnacentral:piRNA from 1 species
UGAAACCUUGCCUGCUAUGUGACU